GACGAACGCUGGCGGCGUGCUUAACACAUGCAAGUGCACGCUGAAGCUUGGUGCUUGCACUGGGUGGAUGAGUGGCGAACGGGUGAGUAAUACGUGAGUAACCUGCCCUUGACUCUGGGAUAAGCCUGGGAAACUGGGUCUAAUACUGGAUACGACAUGCCACUGCAUGGUGGUGUGUGGAAAGGGUUUUACUGGUUUUGGAUGGGCUCACGGCCUAUCAGCUUGUUGGUGGGGUAAUGGCCUACCAAGGCGACGACGGGUAGCCGGCCUGAGAGGGUGACCGGCCACACUGGGACUGAGACACGGCCCAGACUCCUACGGGAGGCAGCAGUGGGGAAUAUUGCACAAUGGGCGGAAGCCUGAUGCAGCGACGCCGCGUGAGGGAUGACGGCCUUCGGGUUGUAAACCUCUUUCAGCACGGAAGAAGCGAGAGUGACGGUACGUGCAGAAGAAGCGCCGGCUAACUACGUG
rnacentral:rRNA from 1 species